GGCAAAGGUAAUUAAAUUACCUUCGCCCCUGUUCUUACUUCUAAAAAAUGUGCAGAAACGAAAAAAAAGAAAGAAAAAGAAAGCCUUACCUGGCGAUUCGAAGGCGCAGGCGACAGCAACAAUUCGAGCCCGGAGAAUACUCUAUUCCUCCUCCUCUCAGUCUCUUCCCCUCCGUUCGUCUGCUGUUCCUUUUCUUUUUGUUUUCUCAGUCCUUGCGAUGAAGAACAGAGGACGUUGCUGGCUUCUCCUUUGGAAAUUGGGUCUCGUUCUUUGCUCUGUUUGUGGCUUGCGUUUUAUUGGUUCUUGACUCUGUCUUUCUGGGUUGAAUCUUCAGCCUUGGUUCUGUAUUUUUGGGUUGUGUUUGCGUUGUUCCGGCGACUUUUUUCUGGUUUUUUUGUAUCGGGUUUUCUUAUGCAGGGACGUCUGCAGAGAUGAAGGCAAUAGCGGGAACAAUUCUCUGUGUAUACUGGAUUCCCUUCCUCUCCUUCUCUCUGUGUAUUAUUUCUUUGCUCUGGGGUUUUUGCUUUUGUUUUGGCUCCAAUUUUCUGGGUUGAUUGCUCUGGCUCCUCCUCCCUUCGUCUCUGUUUGUUUUCUCCUUUUAUAGCCAAACUCAACCUCCUCCAGUUCUGUUUUUGCAGGACUGUAUUAUGCAUGGUUAUCGGCAAACGACUUGGUCCAAGAUCAAAUUUGUUGCAGAUUAUCUGCUCCCCUGAUGAAUCGGAGAUUCUCCUGUUGAAUCGUGAUGGAGAAGAACACACGGCUGUUCCUUAGCAACGGUGCCGUUUUGGCUGGAAACGGGAGUUUUCAAUUUGACCCCUGAACUUUGGAAAUUUUGCAAUUGGACCUCUCAAUUAAAUAAAAAUUCCUUUUAAUUUUGCCCUUUUCUGGAUACAUUUCAAUUAAAUCCCUCAAUUGGUGCAAUGUUUACAAAACAGUCCUUAAUUCAUGGAUUAUUCAAUUUGAUCCUUAAUUAAUUCUUUUAAUUUUGCCCCUUUUGGAUAAAUUUCAAUUAAGUCCCUGAAUUUAUUUAAUUAAUUAAAUCAAAGUUUAAUUAAGUCCACAAACUUAUUAAUUCUUAUAAUUUCAUUAAUUAAAAUAAUCCAAAUUUUAAGUAAAUUUCCAAACUUAUUAAUUCUUCAAUUUCUGACCAAUUUAUUCUCAAAUCUGAUAAUUUUAUCCCUAAACUUCAAGAUUUGUUGUCUUAACCCAAUUGUCAACUAUAUUUAAUUUUUAUUAUUUGUUCAAAAAUUUGGUUAUGACAGUUGCCCCCUCUUUAUAAUAUUUACUAUGCAAUGAUAUUAGAAAAUUUCAUUUUCUUUUAGCUUUGUGUAGUAAAUUUAUAAAGAAAAUUAGAUACAAAAAGAACUUUUGCUUUUUUUUUUAGAGUCUUGAAAACUUCGAAAACCAGAGAUUGACAUAUGACUUUUAUAGAGAAAACAAGUCAUUUGGAAGACAGCGUAUUUUUUCUUUUUUUUUUUUUUUUUUUUUUUUUGUGAUGGUAUAUUGUAAUGGGUUACCGGCCCAGAUGGUCACAUUGUAAUGGGUUACCUGCCCAGUAUAGAUGGUAUAUUGUAAUGGGUUACCAACCCAAAUGGUCACAUUGUAAUGGGUUACCUGCCCAGUAUAGAAUGGUAUAUUGUAAUGGGUUACCAGCCCAGUUGGUAUAUUGUAAUGGGUUACCAACCCAGGUGGUCACAUUGUAAUGGGUUACCUGCCCAGUUGGUAAAUUGUAAUGGGUUACCAGCCCAGAUGGUCACAUUGUAAUGGGUUACCUGCCCAGUUGGUCACAUUGUAAUGGGUUACCUGCCCAGUUGGUAUAUUGUAAUGGGUUACCAACCCAGAUGGUCACAUUGUAAUGGGUUACCUGCCCAGUUGGUAAAUUGUAAUGGGUUACCAGCCCAGAUGGUACAUUGUAAUGGGUUACCUGCCCAGUUGGUCACAUUGUAAUGGGUUACCUGCCCAGUGGAAACAUACAAGUUUUUUUUUAUUAUUUUUUUUUAUAUAAGACGAGGGCUCGAAGGCGCGCUCAAAUGGAGAUAAGACGAGGGCUCGAAGGCACGCUCAAAUGGAGGUAGGAUAGAAAAUGCACUACCUUUGAUGGUCGAGGGCUCGAAGGCGCGCUCGAAAAUAAAUAAGACGAGGGCUCGAAGGCGCAGUCGAAUAGAGGUAGGAUAGAAAAUGCACUACCUGAGGUGGUCGAGGGCUCGAAGGCGCGCUCGAAUGGAGAUAAGACGAGGGCUCGAAGGCGCGCUCGAAUGGAGGUAGGAUAGAAAAUGCACUACCUUUGAUGGUCGAGGGCUCGAAGGCGCGCUCGAAAAGAACUCAGACGAGGGCUCGAAGGCGCGCUCGAAUGGAGAUAAGACGAGGGCUCGAAGGCGCGCUCGAAUGGAGGUAGGAUAGGAAAUGCACUACCUAUGAUGGUUGAGGCUGAAAAGUGGUGAAAAAAUACAGAGAUUUUUCUGGUGGCCUAAUUCUCAUGGGCGGCCUGCCCAGGUUGAAAAAUUCUCAAAAAUGAAAAAUUUUUCAACAACAAUUUUGAUCUUUGGCCAUUUCAAGUUGGCCUUCCACUUGAUGGAUUUCGUUGGAAUUUUCUCAUAUGAAAUUUGCAAAACUCAUUGUCCAAUGUCUCAAAGUUAAAUGAUAUGCAUGCAUCUUUACCUGAUUUGAAAUAUAGGCCCCCAUUUCUUCAUAGUCUUCUUGUUGAUUGAUUGGUGAGAUCUUGCUAACUGAUUUGAGUCAUCUUUGUCGUUUAGCUUUCUAGCCCACUCGAGUUGGCCCAUGUAAGUCUAUUUCCAAAUUUGUUUGCACAACUCAGCAUUUGUGGUGCCCAUCGUGACCCACUUGCUUGCUAGAGAUUUUCUGAUUCGUCAAAUAAUUUGAGAGGAUUAUUCAUUACCCCUCGUCUCACUGCUAAAAAACAUUCGGUAUCACUUGCUGAAAGGAUCGAGCUGUCUUUUGUAAAGCAAAAUGCCCCCUUGUCUUGUUGUAAGGGAUGAUAGAUUUUCCUUAAACACAAUGUUGUCCCCUUGUACUGGUCAUUGCCCCCAAGUGUGCUAUGUCACUGACUUAGAUGAAUAAUGAUUUUAAGAGGUCAUUCUCUCAUUUGGUAAAGGAAUACGAGUCUAGAAUGAAUCUUGAAAUCUUGAUCUUGCAUUUUGAAAACAAAAUUAUUUCGAUGUGAGUCUAAAAUUUGCUUUUGAAAUCUUGCAACUCCUUGGUUAUUUUCUUUCUUGGAAAAGAGAUUAUUUGCUCUUGUGUUUGGUAAUGAGGUCUUCGGUGAAAAUAUGUCAUGAGAUGACCUUUUGUUUCGAAGUGAAGGGCUCGAGAAAAAGCUCGAGGUUUUGUAAGAGAAAAACUUGUCUCUUUUUUAACAUUUAUUUUUAUCAGCAUGAAUAAUAAUGAGUAGUUUAUUCUUGAUGUCAUGAAUCUUAUGAAAAAGUAUCUUUGCAUUUUGAGAGCAUUGUUUAUUGUUCUAGAUUGCUUGCUUGCUUGAUUAGAAAGGACUUCUACAGGCACGUAACGUAGGCUGUGGUUUUUGGCUAUGAAAGAAAAGGAUUCAUAAGGCUCAAAGAGUGUUUCAGGGUUCCAAAGACUGAAGAUCACUAUCAAUAGUUUGACUCUUGACGCCAUUCAUAGUUCUUUUGCCGCUCUUCUUUGAUUUGCCCCUUUUUUUCUUUUUCAUUGCUUUGCUAGAGCAUACUCACUUUAUCUUGGUUAUCACUUUUUCUUGUGAUUUAGGCAUGCCCCCUAGCAUUUGAGUUUCUUGGGCUCUUUUUCCUUUUGGCUUUCUCACGGCUUUAUCCUCUUUCUUGAUCAUUGAAAUUUCACUUGCCCGUUUUUUUUUUGUAGGCCUGAUCCUUAGCAUUUGAGUUUCUUGGGCUCUUUUGCCUUUUGGCUUUCUCACGGCUUUAUCAUCCUUCUUGAUCAUUGAAAUUUCACUUGCCCUCAGUGUAGGGUGUGAUCUUAGUCGGGAUUUUUUUAUGAAAGAAAAAUUAUUCAGGCUCAAAAAGGGUUUGCAAGGGAUUUACUUAUUUUAGAACGUGAAAGGAAUAACAAAGAUGGCCUUUCCUCAUUUCAAGCGCAAGCAACUAUGAUCGAUAAACUUUGACCUCGUAUAGUGUGAUGAUUUAUUCUUUGCAAAGAUGCAUUUCAUGAGUUAUGUGCAACAAGUUCACUACAUACCAUUAUUCAUACAUUUAAAAACACAUGAUUCAAGAGUAAUGGGGUAAGGGUGUUUUUUUUUUUUUUUCACAAUUGUUUUUAUAAUUUAGUCACCUCAAUGAUGGAGUUGCUUGAUUCACUUGUCAUUCUACAAGUAGAAUGUCAAAAAUAUGUUUUUGAAUAAACAUCAAAUUAUUUUUUGAAAUCAAAAUGCCAGAUCAAUUUUUUUCAAAACUAAUAGGGAAACUGAUUUUUGGUAAAAGAGAUGAAUUGCGUCUAUGAGAUCGCACAAGGCUUCAAAGAUGUGUUUGUGAAUCUUUAUAAGAAAACUCUCUCAGAAAAAAAUGAAUAAUGCUAAUCGUAAACACGAUUGAAUGAUUUUCAUUGAAACUUUAGAAAAUAAGUUCAACAAGAAAGAACUUAUGACAACAUCUUGGGCUAUGACAAGAUAACAUAUAAAGGGCUAAACAUUUAGCGAUCAUUGAUUGGAAUUUCUGGAAUAUUUCAAUCAUUCAUUCUCCUCGACAAGGGCAUCUUUUCAACAGUCAAUUGAAAUCAAAUGUAGAUCAUUCUCGACCUAAUAUCACCAUAGCUUUAUCUUCAAGAUAGUUGAUUUCUAGGAGUCGAUGUGAAGCAAUUAGCUAUAGAAAUGAUAAGUGCCUUGGCAACCACCUUCAGUGAAACCGUUCUUCUCAGUCGGGUUAGCAAUCUUACCUAACCCAAUGGCUUGUUCAAUCCUCUCAGCUAACAACCAGGUCAGUAAAAUGUUGUGCAGAGCUUCUAACCAAGUAUUCAAAGUAUGGAGCUUUAAAGGUGUUGGAAAAUCUGAUCUUUUUUUCCAACAUGGGAGGGUUAACUUGUGCAGCUACCUCACUCCAUCUUCGGGCGUAUUCUCUUAUGGACUUUGUUAUCCUUCUCCAUAGCUUGCAAGCUUCGAUCAGGCCCACAUCUAUAUUGAACUUAUAUUGCCUCAUGAAGGCAUCAACUAAAUCCUUCCAUUUUUUAACCUUGGUAUUGUCCCCGCAUAUACCAAGUGAGGGCACAUUACUCAGACUGUCUUGAAAGAAAUGAAUCAGCAGUUUCUCAUCAUGAACCACCUCAGCCAUUUUGUUGCAGUAUGCUUUGAGAUGAGUUAUGGGCAUUGAUUCCCGUAUAUUUAACAAAUUCUGGCACUCUAAAUUUUUUGGAAUGACUACGUUGGGCACCAAACACAUCUCAGCAGCCUUUAUAGGAUCAUAUAGGUGAAUUCCCUCAAAUGCCCUCAUCCUUUGUUCUAGGGCAAUGAAUUUGUUCAGCUCAUCUUCUUUUACCAUUUUGCCCUUUUGAGAUUCAUUCUCUGUAGAAUCAAUGGUAAACGACAUUCUCGGGGUAUGCUGGAUGAAAAUGCAUGGCUUGUUGAAAAUCAGACGACCCAUUUGCCCCCAGAUUCUGUAGAUUGAAGGGAUUUACAACAUAGGUUCAGGCUGUAAGUGUUGCUUUUCCGGAUUUAUCUCUCAAGGCCUGCUCGAGUAGACUAGUAAGCCUUGCGACUUCUUCUUUAAGAUUGUCCACCUCUUUUUGAUGUUGGGCUUCCAACUGGGCUCUUUCUUCGUUUUCCAUUUGUCUUUUCUCGAAAGGGUUUAUUAUAUGUAGGUUUCAAAUGGGAACCUAUAUUUCAACCUGUAAAUGUAAAUCAUGCAAUUUAUGCAAAAAUGUUGAUUCAAUUAAAAAUGCGUAUGGAAUGCAGACACGUCCUUCACGGGAUGACAACCUAAUAGGAAGAUCCUAAUUGUUGAGUGCAUCAAAGGGUUGGUCAUUAUCUAGUUUCAAAGGGUCUCUCGCAUGCUCAGUGAUCGUCCAUGAAAGGUCGAUAUGAGGCUUACAAGUAGUGUGAAAAUAGAGGCCCUGAGUAAUAUCAGUUUGGCAUAUCAACCACUUCCAAGUAAACAAUCAAGCGAGAGUUGGAUGGUUUCACGAGUCUUACCCAGGCUAAAGCCAUUGGGGUACCGUUACUUUCCCACUUAUCCUAGAUUUUCAGGUGUGUGCUCUCAACGUGAUGCAUGACAAUAUAAACAUGGAUGCAUGCUAAAGCAGUAAAUUCAAGAAAAAUAAACAAAUAAACAUAACAUAAAAAACAUUAUAACAAUUGAUAAACAAAAGGCAAAGCUUAGUCCAUUAGUCCCCAGUGGAGUCGCCAUUCUGUCGCACCCGACAUCGCGCGGCCUUAAAAAUUUUAAAUCUUUGGAAAGAACGGAUUUCUGGCAUCCUGUUCUUUAAUGUGGAUAUUCUUGUUUAAGGAGUCGCCACCUAGUAUUAUGGUCACUAGGAACCCUAACUGGUCAACAGAGAUUCUAUGGUUCGGGACUGGUUACGUAAAAGGGAAGAUAUUAUCACCCCUUAAACGUCCUGCCUGGCAGGCUGCAUUGCUGGUUUCGUCUUAAAUUGCUAAAUGUUUUUAUUUAUGUUAUGAAAAUUUGCUUAUAAUAUUCCUGACUCUGGCGCCAGUGAAUAUUUAACUACGAAUAUUUCCAACUCUGGCGUUGUAAAUAUUACGUAGCUAUAAAAAUAAAUUUAAAUCAUAUAUUUUUUUUAUUCCGACUCUGGCGUCAGUGAAUAAUAAAAAUAAUAAUUUAUUUUUUUUAUAAAAUUAUUAACAUAUUUAUUUUUAUUUUUGGGCUGGGCUGGACCCAGCCCAGCAUACUUUUUUUUGGGGCUGGGCCCAGCUCAGCCCACAUGGGCUGGGCUCGGCCAGCUAGCCUGGCCAGGCCACUGGCCCAAGCCAGUGGCCGGCUGGGCUGCAGGCACGCGUGUUCAGACCACGCGUGCGCUGCACAGGGCAAAGGUAAUUAAAUUACCUUCGCCCCUGUUCUUACUUCUAAAAAAUGUGCAGAAACGAAAAAAAAGAAAGAAAAAGAAAGCCUUACCUGGCGAUUCGAAGGCGCAGGCGACAGCAACAAUUCGAGCCCGGAGAAUACUCUAUUCCUCCUCCUCUCAGUCUCUUCCCCUCCGUUCGUCUGCUGUUCCUUUUCUUUUUGUUUUCUCAGUCCUUGCGAUGAAGAACAGAGGACGUUGCUGGCUUCUCCUUUGGAAAUUGGGUCUCGUUCUUUGCUCUGUUUGUGGCUUGCGUUUUAUUGGUUCUUGACUCUGUCUUUCUGGGUUGAAUCUUCAGCCUUGGUUCUGUAUUUUUGGGUUGUGUUUGCGUUGUUCCGGCGACUUUUUUCUGGUUUUUUUGUAUCGGGUUUUCUUAUGCAGGGACGUCUGCAGAGAUGAAGGCAAUAGCGGGAACAAUUCUCUGUGUAUACUGGAUUCCCGUCCUCUCCUUCUCUCUGUGUAUUAUUUCUUUGCUCUGGGGUUUUUGCUUUUGUUUUGGCUCCAAUUUUCUGGGUUGAUUGCUCUGGCUCCUCCUCCCUUCGUCUCUGUUUGUUUUCUCCUUUUAUAGCCAAACUCAACCUCCUCCAGUUCUGUUUUUGCAGGACUGUAUUAUGCAUGGUUAUCGGCAAACGACUUGGUCCAAGAUCAAAUUUGUUGCAGAUUAUCUGCUCCCCUGAUGAAUCGGAGAUUCUCCUGUUGAAUCGUGAUGGAGAAGAACACACGGCUGUUCCUUAGCAACGGUGCCGUUUUGGCUGGAAACGGGAGUUUUCAAUUUGACCCCUGAACUUUGGAAAUUUUGCAAUUGGACCUCUCAAUUAAAUAAAAAUUCCUUUUAAUUUUGCCCUUUUCUGGAUACAUUUCAAUUAAAUCCCUCAAUUGGUGCAAUGUUUACAAAACAGUCCUUAAUUCAUGGAUUAUUCAAUUUGAUCCUUAAUUAAUUCUUUUAAUUUUGCCCCUUUUGGAUAAAUUUCAAUUAAGU
rnacentral:lncRNA from 1 species